rnacentral:lncRNA from 1 species
GUCGCUGGUCCCCGGCAACACGGCUCAGGCAAACGUAAGCGGCUUGUCGCAGAAACCAAGGGGUCCACGAAACGCGCUAGGCUAGAAGGCGGGAAGGAGAGAUUACUGACAGCCGUGCCAGCCAAUAAAAUAGAAAUCAACAGUGAGAGCUCAGAAAUUCCCAGACUGUUUUGAUGAUAAGGUCCAAGAACUUGCCAUGUGAUCCAUCACUACUAGACUCCCACAACUGCAUUAGAUUUGUUCAGGAUUUUCAUAUAAUUUUCAUAACUGGCUAAGUUCUGAAAUAACCCAUCUUGAAGACAUAAACAAUGUGCAUUGAUGGCUAGCCAGACUCUGUCCUGCCACAGUUCUCCUCCUACUCUUCAUUUCUUACCCCAAGGAGUAGUAAACAUGAAUCCUGACCCACCAAUGCAGUCCCAGAACUGAGAAAAGAUUCACUGCAGCUAAACACAUUGGAAAUGGAUGGGGAGAAGGCCUGAUGAAAAUUACUGAGGAAGCCUCUUAGCCUAUGUGCUCUGAGAGUAGUGACACCUAGCAGUCGUUCAAAAGAUGAUCAAGAGGAGCAUGAAAAAAUCCCCUGAAUCCAUUGGCUUUCUUCCCUAUACUGACAACAGUUUACUUGUGUAAGAGAUGCAUGCCUCGACUCCGGACCCCUUCUUUCAUCUGCAAAAUCAGCAGCACCCUCACAUCAUCUCCUGUAACAAACUCUCUCUGUCUCCUCCAUAUAAGGUCACUGAUGGUUACAUUUAGGGUCCAUGAUAUAAGGCCCUCUCCAGGGUGCCUGAGUUUGUUGUUUCAUCACAGAAUUACACGGAAGAGACUGGAAAGAUAACUCUUCAAAUGUCAAAUCAUUCCCCUAUAAAAAAUUUUGCCACAGCUGUUGAAAUAUGGCCUUAGGGUUUAUGACAGAAUUUGAACCAGCCCCAUGGAAAAUGCAUCUUGACUCUGCUUUUAUUCCUUUCCCUGCUGAGCUCCUAAUAGAAGAUGGAUGUCUAUUGCUUUUCUCUUGAUAUUCAUGGCACUGCUCCUCUCCAUCCAUAGGAUUAUCUUAUAGAUGAGGGUCUCAUCCUUUUGCCCAGGCUGGAGUACAG